AACGAACGCUGGCGGCAUGCCUAACACAUGCAAGUCGAACGAGACCUUCGGGUCUAGUGGCGCACGGGGGCGUAACGCGGGGGAACCUGCCCUUAGGUUCGGAAUAACUCCCCGAAAGGGGUGCUAAUACCGGAUAAUGUCUUCGGACCAAAGAUUUAUCGCCUUUGGGUGGGCCCGCGUUGGAUUAGCUAGUUGGUAGGGUAAAAGCCUACCAAGGCGACGAUCCAUAGCUGGUCUGAGAGGAUGCUCAGCCACACUGGGACUGAGACACGGCCCAGACGCCUACGGGAGGCAGCAGUGGGGAAUAUUGGACAAUGGGCGAAAGCCUGAUCCAGCAAUGCCGCGUGAGUGAUGAAGGCCUUAGGGUUGUAAAGCUCUUUUAGCCGGGAUGAUAAUGACAGUACCGGGAGAAUAAGCUCCGGCUAACUCCGUG
rnacentral:rRNA from 1 species